rnacentral:rRNA from 1 species
CAGUAGCCGCGGGAAUACAGAGGGUGCGAGCGUUAAUCGGAUUUACUGGGCGUAAAGCGUGCGUAGGCGGCUAAUUGAGUCGGAUGUGAAAUCCCCGAGCUUAACUUGGGAAUUGCAUUCGAUACUGGUUAGCUAGAGUGUGGGAGAGGAUGGUAGAAUUCCAGGUGUAGCGGUGAAAUGCGUAGAGAUCUGGAGGAAUACCGAUGGCGAAGGCAGCCAUCUGGCCUAACACUGACGCUGAGGUACGAAAGCAUGGGGAGCAAACAGGAUUAGAUACCCGCGUAGUCCCUGUCUCUUAUAC